rnacentral:rRNA from 1 species
AUUGAACGCUGGCGGCAGGCCUAACACAUGCAAGUCGAACGGUAACAGGAAGAAGCUUGCUUCUUUGCUGACGAGUGGCGGACGGGUGAGUAAUGUCUGGGAAACUGCCUGAUGGAGGGGGAUAACUACUGGAAACGGUAGCUAAUACCGCAUAACGUCGCAAGACCAAAGAGGGGGACCUUCGGGCCUCUUGCCAUCGGAUGUGCCCAGAUGGGAUUAGCUAGUAGGUGGGGUAACGGCUCACCUAGGCGACGAUCCCUAGCUGGUCUGAGAGGAUGACCAGCCACACUGGAACUGAGACACGGUCCAGACUCCUACGGGAGGCAGCAGUGGGGAAUAUUGCACAAUGGGCGCAAGCCUGAUGCAGCCAUGCCGCGUGUAUGAAGAAGGCCUUCGGGUUGUAAAGUACUUUCAGCGGGGAGGAAGGAAGUAAAGUUAAUACCUUUACUCAUUGACGUUACCCGCAGAAGAAGCACCGGCUAACUCCGUG